rnacentral:rRNA from 1 species
UGGGGGAUAUUGCACAAUGGGCGAAAGCCUGAUGCAGCGACGCCGCGUGGGGGAUGAAGGCUUUCGGGUUGUAAACCUCUUUCGCUAUCGAACAAGGCCCGCUUAGGGUGGGUUGAGGGUAGGUGGAGAAGAAGCGCCGGCUAACUACGUGCCAGCAGCCGCGGUAAUACGUAGGGCGCGAGCGUUGUCCGGAAUUAUUGGGCGUAAAGGGCUUGUAGGCGGCUUGUUGCGCCUGCUGUGAAAACGCGGGGCUUAACUUCGCGCGUGCAGUGGGUACGGGCAGGCUUGAGUGUGGUAGGGGUGACUGGAAUUCCAGGUGUAGCGGUGGAAUGCGCAGAUAUCUGGAGGAACACCGAUGGCGAAGGCAGGUGACUGGGCCAUUACUGACGCUGAGGAGCGAAAGCAUGGGUAGCGAGCAGG